rnacentral:rRNA from 1 species
AUUGAACGCUGGCGGCAGGCCUAACACAUGCAAGUCGAGCGGAUGAAGGGAGCUUGCUCCUGGAUUCAGCGGCGGACGGGUGAGUAAUGCCUAGGAAUCUGCCUGGUAGUGGGGGAUAACGUCCGGAAACGGGCGCUAAUACCGCAUACGUCCUGAGGGAGAAAGUGGGGGAUCUUCGGACCUCACGCUAUCAGAUGAUCCUAGGUCGGAUUAGCUAGUUGGUGGGGUAAAGGCCUACCAAGGCGACGAUCCGUAACUGGUCUGAGAGGAUGAUCAGUCACACUGGCACUGAGACACGGUCCAGACUCAUACGGGAGGCAGCAGGGGGGAAUAUUGGACAAUGGGCGAAAGCAUGAUCCAGCCAUGCCGCGUGUGUGAAGAAGGUCUUCGGAUUGUAAAGCACUUUAAGUUGGGAGGAAGGGAAGUAAGUUAAUACCUUGCUGUGUUGACGUUACCAACAGAAUAAGCACCGGCUAACUUCGUG